UACGUAGGUGACAAGCGUUGUCCGGAUUUACUGGGCGUAAAGAGCGCGCAGGCGGUCGUUCAAGUCGACGUGUGAAAGCCCCCGGCUCAACUGGGGAGGGUCACUCGAUACUGAUCGACUCGAAGGCAGGAGAGGGAAGCGGAAUUCCCGGUGUAGUGGUGAAAUGCGUAGAUAUCGGGAGGAACACCAGUGGCGAAGGCGGCUUCCUGGCCUGUUCUUGACGGCUGAGGCUGCGAAAGCUAGGGGAGCAAGCGGGG
rnacentral:rRNA from 1 species